GACGAACGCUGGCGGCGUGCUUAACACAUGCAAGUCGAACGGAAAGGCCCUGCUUUUGUGGGGUGCUCGAGUGGCGAACGGGCGAGUAACACGUGAGUAACCUGCCCUUGACUUUGGGAUAACUUCAGGAAACUGGGGCUAAUACCGGAUAGGAGCUCCUGCUGCAUGGUGGGGGUUGGAAAGUUUCGGCGGUUGGGGAUGGACUCGCGGCUUAUCAGCUUGUUGGUGGGGUAGUGGCUUACCAAGGCUUUGACGGGUAGCCGGCCUGAGAGGGUGACCGGCAACAUUGGGACUGAGAUACGGCCCAGACUCCUACGGGAGGCAGCAGUGGGGAAUAUUGCACAAUGGGCGGAAGCCUGAUGCAGCAACGCCGCGUGCGGGAUGACGGCCUUCGGGUUGUAAACCGCUUUCGCCUGUGACGAAGCGUGAGUGACGGUAAUGGGUAAAGAAGCACCGGCUAACUACGUG
rnacentral:rRNA from 1 species